rnacentral:rRNA from 1 species
CAAUAGCGUAUAUUAAAGUUGUUGCAGUUAAAAAGCUCGUAGUUGGAUUUCUGGUAGGAGCGACCGGUCCGCCCUGUUAAGGGUGUGUACUAGCGUUGUCUCUGGCCAUCCUUGGGGGAACUGCGCGGGGAGACUUGCGUUAGGGAACCCAUCGUUUACUGUGAAAAAAUUAGAGUGUUUAAAGCAGGCUUAUGCCGUUGAAUACAUUAGCAUGGAAUAAUAAGAUAGGACCGCGUGGUCGUCUUGUUGGUUUGCACCGCGAGGUAAUGAUUAAUAGGUACAGUUGGGGGUAUUCGUAUUUAAUUGUCAGAGGUGAAAUUCUUGGAUUUAUGAAAGACGAACUUCUGCGAAAGCAUUUACCAAGGAUGUUUUCAUUAAUCAAGAACGAAAGUUAGGGGAUCGAAGACGAUUAGAUACCAU